rnacentral:rRNA from 1 species
GAUGAACGCUGGCGGCGUGCCUAAUACAUGCAAGUCGAGCGAACAGAUGAGGAGCUUGCUCCUCUGACGUUAGCGGCGGACGGGUGAGUAACGCGUGGAUAACCUACCUAUAAGACUGGGAUAACUUCGGGAAACCGGAGCUAAUACCGGAUAAUAUAUUGAACCGCAUGGUUCAAUAGUGGAAGACGGUUUUGCUGUCACUUAUAGAUGGAUCCGCGCCGCAUUAGCUAGUUGGUAAGGUAACGGCUUACCAAGGCAACGAUGCGUAGCCGACCUGAGAGGGUGAUCGGCCACACUGGAACUGAGACACGGUCCAGACUCCUACGGGAGGCAGCAGUAGGGAAUCUUCCGCAAUGGGCGAAAGCCUGACGGAGCAACGCCGCGUGAGUGAUGAAGGUCUUCGGAUCGUAAAACUCUGUUAUUAGGGAAGAACAAAUGUGUAAGUAACUAUGCACGUCUUGACGGUACCUAAUCAGAAAGCCACGGCUAACUACGUG